UACGAAGGGGGGCUAGCGUUGUUCGGAAUUACUGGGCGUAAAGCGCACGUAGGCGGGCGAUUAAGUCAGGGGUGAAAUCCCGGAGCUCAACUCCGGAACUGCCUUUGAUACUGGUCGUCUAGAGAUCGGAAGAGGUGAGUGGAAUUCCCCAGUGUAGAGGUGAAAUUCGUAGAUAUUGGGAAGAACACCGGUGGCGAAGGCGGCUCACUGGUCCGAUACUGACGCUGAGGUGCGAAAGCGUGGGGAGCAAACAGG
rnacentral:rRNA from 1 species